AUGGAUCCUGCACCAUCAGGGGCUGGCACCGGGCAUUACCGGGGUGCCACAAGACCCCCGCCGCCGACCAGGGGUCACCUCCGGGGGGCACGAAGCCCCCGGGGAACCGGCCGGCACCGCAGGGCCAGAGCCCACUCAAGGUCACGCAGCCGCCCAGGGGCUGGCUGCCCCCCUUGGCCUCCCCCAUCCUCAUUAGGGGCACACAGCUCGGCGCCCCGAGCUCCCCCAAACCCUCCUCCUGCUGCGCUGGGCAGCCCAAGGUCACGGGCAGCCGCCGGUGCCCCAAGCGAGCCCGGCACGAGCAGCGGGAGGCAGCCCGAGGGCGGCGGAGUUACAGCGGGCUGUAUCCGAGCACCGCCAGGCCGGCAGCGGGACACGGCAGACGCGGGGGAGGCUUCAACCGAGCAGAGGCAGCGCUGGGAGGGCGCCGGGACCCCCGCUCCUUCCCCCCCCGGGAGCACCGUGAGGCCUGGCAGGGCCCCGGAGGGAACGGGAAGGGAACGGGGCCGGCCCCCGAGCAGCCCCCGCCCCGCUCCCGUCACCGGGGCCGCCCUCAGGCCCUGCCCCGCCUCAGGGCGGCCCCGCGGCCUGCAGGGCCCUCACCCCCCCCCACGCAGCGGGGCCGUUACCGGGCUUCGGCCUCUCCCCCUUAGAGACCCCCCCGGAGGCUCCCGGGGUAGAAAAAGCCCCAAAAAGACCCCAAAAGCCCCGGAAAAGGCCCAAAACACCGCGCCCCCCCCCCCCUUGGUGCCCCCCCCCCCCCCCGCCGCCCCUCCCGUUCCCCCCCCCACCGCCCCCAGCCCCGCGCGCGCGCGCGGCCCCGGCUUCCUGCCCCUCCCCUCCCCUCCCGCCCCGCGCGCGCGCGCUCAGCAGCCAAUCACCGCCCCGCUCCCCCGCGGCACCCAAUCAGCGCCCGGCUCCCCUCGCCCGCCUCCACCCCCGCCGCCAGCCAAUCAGCGGGCGCGGAGCGGCGCGGCGCGGCCAAUCGAAGCGCAGCCGCCCGGGGUGGGGGGCGGGGAUGGAGGGGGAGGGGGGGAGCCCCUGAGGGCCGCCCCCGCCCCGCGCCCCCUCCGCCGGCCGCCGCCGUCGCCUCCCCCCCGCCCCUCGGCCCCGCCACUCACCGGCCCCAACGAGCGCCGCGAAGCCUCCGCCCGGGCUGGGAGGAGCCCGCGCUGCCCCCCGGGCCCGGCUGGCAGCGGGAGAGGACCCGGAGGGGAGGGGAAGGGGAGGAGGGGGGGGGGGCGGCGGGAGCCCGGCGAGCGCCUCAGCGGCCGCGGACCAAGAUGGCGGCGGCGCCGUGAGGCGGCUCGGGAGGGCGCCCCGCCCCUUCCCCCCUUGCGCCGGCGCAGCGCGCAGGCGCGUGACCCGCGCCGAGAUCUCGCGAGAGUUCGCACUGAGGCGGCUGAGGCGGCGGCGGGGCCUGCACCGGGCCUAGGCCGCGCCCGGUCCCCUCAGGCCCCGUCCCGUGAGGCCCCGCCGGGCCCUGGGGGGGCUCCUCGGUAG
rnacentral:lncRNA from 1 species